UACGUAGGGUGCAAGCGUUGUCCGGAAUUAUUGGGCGUAAAGAGCUCGUAGGCGGUCUGUCGCGUCGUUCGUGAAAACCUGCAGCUCAACUGCAGGCUUGCGGUCGAUACGGGCAGGCUGGAGUUCGGUAGGGGAGACUGGAAUUCCUGGUGUAGCGGUGAAAUGCGCAGAUAUCAGGAGGAACACCGGUGGCGAAGGCGGGUCUCUGGGCCGAUACUGACGCUGAGGAGCGAAAGCGUGGGGAGCGAACAGG
rnacentral:rRNA from 1 species